GGGAGAGAGAGACUGGAGCAACUUAUGUGCACAGCCUUUCCAUAUACUAUGUCCUGGUGUGCCUGCUAGUAAACGGCAGCAUCAGAAGGGAGGAACUGCAGCUCCUCAUGUCCUGCUUAAGGAUGGUCCAGAAACCCCAGAUGUCUUGUCGCCUUUUCGCCUCCUCCACUGAGAGCAGCAGAUCAGUUCACGUUGACAGAUUAGAGGGGAAGUGUGCAAUUGUUUAUGGCUUCAGCUGUACAUAAAGGAGCCCUGGUAGCUUCUGCUGAGACUUUUCAGUAGAAAAUCCUUCAAAAAAGAAAAAAGAAAGAAAGAAGCAGCUAUUUUGAAGACUGACUUUCUAAAAUUAUAUUUAGGAAUGCCAACCCAUCCUACAUGCCAACCAGUCCCCUCACUUUGGCCGAUCACUGCAGAAAGCCUGGUGCUGAGCUCCAAGGAGACUGUCCCACACAAAUCAAACAGGAUGCCUGCAAGUCCUCUCUAUGGGGCUGUCACCCAAGCCUGUUCAGGGAAUUUUCAACAGUUGCAUCUGCGCAGACAUCGAUUCUCACUUCUUUGCAGUAAUGAUUUACUUCGGUUUAUACCUUCAAUCUGCCCUCCCAAUAGAUACCAGAUCGCGGAUGCCCUGUCCCAAGCAUAAAUCCCGUCCUGUUUACCAAUCCCUCAAAACCUUCAUGACCUUCAUAUUUAACGGGCAUUUUCAAGGAUCUGGCAAGACUGCCGGUUUGGUAAUGCAAGGCAGAAGUUUUCUCCAUGCCAUGGGGUGCAUGGCUUCUAGCUGCUUUGGUCUCUCAUCUCAUCCUAGCAGCCCUUCUACCAUCAAAGAAAGAAGGUUUCUUCCCCUUUGGCUCCAUCCUAUAAACAGUCUCAAGAAUGACUUACACUGGAUCAGCAGAGGUUGCAUACUCCUUCCCCAACCAGACACCAAGCCAGGAAGAUGGGGUCAUAUCCCAAUGUAUUAGCUAUAGAGUAAAAACUUAAAUUUAUUUCUUAACAUGCAUGCCUUUUAAUAGAGAGACUUGUAAACACUUGGGUACUGUCUUACAAAAAGCAGAACUCUCUAAAAAGGGUGACUGGAGGCUGACGCAGAACGACAUCCUGUUGUAUGAGAAAGUCCUGGGGGAAUUUACUCUUCUAACAGCUUGCUUAAUGCUUUUGCUUCCUGUGGAGUGGGCUGGGGUGGGAAUUUAAAGCAGACUUCUAAAUUGAGUUCUGCAGUGGAGGAACUUCUCUUAAAAUCUCUGCUGGAGUUACUUAAGACAUUGAACUGUCGGGGUGCCUGGAUGACUCAGUCAUUUAAGCGUCUAACUCUUGAUUUUGGUUCAGGUCACUAUCUCAGGGUCCUGGGACUGAGCCCCAUGUUGGGCUCCAUGCUCAGUGGGGUCUGCUUGAAGUUCCUCUCCCUCUGCCCCUCCCCUGCCUGUCUUCCUCAAAUAAAUUAAUUAAUUUAAAAAAAAAUUGAGCUGUU
rnacentral:lncRNA from 1 species